rnacentral:rRNA from 1 species
AUUGAACGCUGGCGGCAGGCCUAACACAUGCAAGUCGAGCGGAUGAAGGGAGCUUGCUCCUGGAUUCAGCGGCGGACGGGUGAGUAAUGCCUAGGAAUCUGCCUUGUAGUGGGGGAUAACGUCCGGAAACGGGCGCUAAUACCGCAUACGUCCUGAGGGAGAAAGUGGGGGAUCUUCGGACCUCACGCUAUCAGAUGAGCCUAGGUCGGAUUAGCUAGUUGGUGGGGUAAAGGCCUACGAAGGCGACGAUCCGUAACUGGUCUGAGAGGAUGAGCAGUCACAGGGGAAUUGCGGCACGGAGGGGGGUCAUGCGGGCGGGACCAGUGGGGGAGUGUGGACAAGGGGCGCGAGGUUGAUACAGCCGUACGGCGGGGGAGAAGAAGGUCUUUGGGUUGUAAAGAACUUUUGUGGGGAGAGAAAAGCAGGAGGUUAAUAACUCGCUGUACUGACGGUACCGAAAGAAUAAGCACCGGCUAACUUCGUG